UGCCGCAAUAAUGUCGUCUGCUCGUUCCAGCCACUAAUGAUGAUAGCGCAUGCCAUUUGGCGCCAUCUCUUAAGCAUCAAGCAUACUAUUGCACGCAAAUUCAAUCCAAUCUAAGCCAAGCCGAAGCGGCCAGUGCGCGUUGCGGCGUGUUUUGUAUGCUGUGUCGGUAAUCUUGGCACGUUAUGGUGUGAUACUGAAGCUACACGGCUGCUUCAAGUUGCAAGUGAUAGAUAACAACGGCACUAAACGAUGGCAACAGGGCUGCCGGUAGGCCCUUCGGAGUCUACGAGUUUUGUGAUCGCUACUGGUUACGGCAGCUGAACGCCACCAAGAUGCGUUAGGCCUGCCGUGGGCCUAAAACUGGGAUUGAUGGCAAAAGAAGUGGCCGUGGCUACCUUGACCAGCGAAAGGGCGGCACGCUUCAUGACAUCUGUGUUGAGGAGGCGUCUGAUGCGCCGGUACAGGUCCAUGCGCUUGUCCAUUCCUGUCAGACGGGCACAUCGCACCGCAGUCAUGGGAGCCACGGGUACCGCCAGGGAGCGCUCCACGUCAGCCACUGUGGGCUCUUUGGUGCGCAGGGUCUCGUACAGUCGCCGGUAGCGCAUCAGCAGCGUGUUGGAUGCACGCCAGGGCAUGUCCCGUGCCGCCUGUACAAGCGUCACAAGGAGAGGCUUUGAAGGCGAGAACAGUGACCGACAACGGGGAAGUGCAUUUGUCGUAUUUCCGAGAUCCAAUAAAAUAAAGAUGUACAGA